AGCUUGCUAAUAAUUCUCUAGUGGCGCACGGGUGAGUAACACGUGAGUACCUGCCCCCAAGAGUGGGAUAGCCCCGGGAAACUGGGAUUAAUACCGCAUAAAGCAAUAAAGCAGCAAUGCGCUUGGGGAUGGGCUCGCGUCCUAUUAGUUAGUUGGUGAGGUAACGGCUCACCAAGGCGAUGACGGGUAGCCGGUCUGAGAGGAUGUCCGGCCACACUGGAACUGAGACACGGUCCAGACACCUACGGGUGGCAGCAGUCGAGAAUCAUUCACAAUGGGGGAAACCCUGAUGGUGCGACGCCGCGUGGGGGAUAAGGUCUUCGGAUUGUAAACCCCUGUCAUGUGGGACAUUAAAAGAUAGUACCACAAGAGGAAGAGACGGCUAACUCUGUGCCAGCAGCCGCGGUAAUACAGAGGUCUCAAGCGUUGUUCGGAAUCACUGGGCGUAAAGCGUGCGUAGGCGGUUUCGUAAGUCGUGUGUGAAAGGCGGGGGCUCAACCCCCGGACUGCACAUGAUACUGCGAGACUAGAGUAAUGGAGGGGGAAUCGGAAUUCUCGGUGUAGCAGUGAAAUGCGUAGAUAUCGAGAGGAACACUCGUGGCGAAGGCGGGUUCCUGGACAUUAACUGACGCUGAGGCACGAAGGCCAGGGGAGCGAAAGGGAUUAGAUACCCCUGUAGUCCUGGCAGUAAACGG
rnacentral:rRNA from 1 species